AGCAGCCGCGGUAAUUCCAGCUCCAAUAGCGUAUAUUAAAGUUGUUGCAGUUAAAAAGCUCGUAGUUGAAUUUCGGAGUUCUACCGUUGGUCAGGCUUUGUCUGUACUGACGUGUAGAAUUUCUACCUUCUGGGGAACCAUCAUGUUAUUAAUUUAGUGUGAUGGGAAACCAGGACCUUUACCUUGAAAAAAUUAGAGUGCUCAAAGCAGGCUUAUGUCUGAAUACAUUAGCAUGGAAUAAUAGAAUAGGACGGUGGUCCUGUUUUGUUGGUUUCUGAAUCACCGUAAUGAUUAAUAGGGAUAGUUGGGGGCAUUAGUAUUCAAUUGUCAGAGGUGAAAUUCUUGGAUUUAUUGAAGACUAACUUCUGCGAAAGCAUUUGCCAAGGAUGUUUUCAUUAAUCAAGAACGAAAGUUAGGGGAUCGAAGACGAUCAGAUACCGUCGUAGUCUUAACCAUAAACUAUGCCGACUAGGGAUCGGACGAUGUUAACUUUCUUGACUCGUUCGCGCCUUACGGGAAC
rnacentral:rRNA from 1 species